UACGUAGGGUGCAAGCGUUGUCCGGAAUUAUUGGGCGUAAAGAGCUCGUAGGCGGCUUGUCGCGUCUGCCGUGAAAGUCCGGGGCUCAACUCCGGAUCUGCGGUGGGUACGGGCAGACUAGAGUACUGCAGGGGAGACUGGAAUUCCUGGUGUAGCGGUGGAAUGCGCAGAUAUCAGGAGGAACACCGGUGGCGAAGGCGGGUCUCUGGGCAGUAACUGACGCUGGAGGAGCGGAAAGCGUGGGGAGCGAACAGG
rnacentral:rRNA from 1 species